GAUUAAGUUAUUAAGGGCGCACGGUGGAUGCCUUGGCACUAGAAGCCAAUGAAGGACGUUACUAACGACGAUAUGCUUUGGGGAGCUGUAAGUAAGCUUUGAUCCAGAGAUUUCCGAAUGGGGAAACCCAGCAUGAGUUAUGUCAUGUUAUCGAUAUGUGAAUACAUAGCAUAUCAGAAGGCACACCCGGAGAACUGAAACAUCUUAGUACCCGGAGGAAGAGAAAGAAAAUUCGAUUCCCUUAGUAGCGGCGAGCGAAACGGGAAGAGCCCAAACCAACAAGCUUGCUUGUUGGGGUUGUAGGACACUCUAUACGGAGUUACAAAGGACGACAUUAGACGAAUCAUCUGGAAAGAUGAAUCAAAGAAGGUAAUAAUCCUGUAGUCGAAAAUGUUGUCUCUCUUGAGUGGAUCCUGAGUACGACGGAGCACGUGAAAUUCCGUCGGAAUCUGGGAGGACCAUCUCCUAAGGCUAAAUACUCUCUAGUGACCGAUAGUGAACCAGUACCGUGAGGGAAAGGUGAAAAGCACCCCGGAAGGGGAGUGAAAUAGAACCUGAAACCGUGUGCUUACAAGUAGUCAGAGCCCGUUAAUGGGUGAUGGCGUGCCUUUUGUAGAAUGAACCGGCGAGUUACGAUUUGAUGCAAGGUUAAGCAGUAAAUGUGGAGCCGUAGCGAAAGCGAGUCUGAAUAGGGCGUUUAGUAUUUGGUCGUAGACCCGAAACCAGGUGAUCUACCCUUGGUCAGGUUGAAGUUCAGGUAACACUGAAUGGAGGACCGAACCGACUUACGUUGAAAAGUGAGCGGAUGAACUGAGGGUAGCGGAGAAAUUCCAAUCGAACCUGGAGAUAGCUGGUUCUCUCCGAAAUAGCUUUAGGGCUAGCCUCAAGUGAUGAUUAUUGGAGGUAGAGCACUGUUUGGACGAGGGGCCCCUCUCGGGUUACCGAAUUCAGACAAACUCCGAAUGCCAAUUAAUUUAACUUGGGAGUCAGAACAUGGGUGAUAAGGUCCGUGUUCGAAAGGGAAACAGCCCAGACCACCAGCUAAGGUCCCAAAAUAUAUGUUAAGUGGAAAAGGAUGUGGCGUUGCCCAGACAACUAGGAUGUUGGCUUAGAAGCAGCCAUCAUUUAAAGAGUGCGUAAUAGCUCACUAGUCGAGUGACACUGCGCCGAAAAUGUACCGGGGCUAAACAUAUUACCGAAGCUGUGGAUUGUCCUUUGGACAAUGGUAGGAGAGCGUUCUAAGGGCGUUGAAGCAUGAUCGUAAGGACAUGUGGAGCGCUUAGAAGUGAGAAUGCCGGUGUGAGUAGCGAAAGACGGGUGAGAAUCCCGUCCACCGAUUGACUAAGGUUUCCAGAGGAAGGCUCGUCCGCUCUGGGUUAGUCGGGUCCUAAGCUGAGGCCGACAGGCGUAGGCGAUGGAUAACAGGUUGAUAUUCCUGUACCACCUAUAAUCGUUUUAAUCGAUGGGGGGACGCAGUAGGAUAGGCGAAGCGUGCGAUUGGAUUGCACGUCUAAGCAGUAAGGCUGAGUAUUAGGCAAAUCCGGUACUCGUUAAGGCUGAGCUGUGAUGGGGAGAAGACAUUGUGUCUUCGAGUCGUUGAUUUCACACUGCCGAGAAAAGCCUCUAGAUAGAAAAUAGGUGCCCGUACCGCAAACCGACACAGGUAGUCAAGAUGAGAAUUCUAAGGUGAGCGAGCGAACUCUCGUUAAGGAACUCGGCAAAAUGACCCCGUAACUUCGGGAGAAGGGGUGCUCUUUAGGGUUAACGCCCAGAAGAGCCGCAGUGAAUAGGCCCAAGCGACUGUUUAUCAAAAACACAGGUCUCUGCUAAACCGUAAGAUGAUGUAUAGGGGCUGACGCCUGCCCGGUGCUGGAAGGUUAAGAGGAGUGGUUAGCUUCUGCGAAGCUACGAAUCGAAGCCCCAGUAAACGGCGGCCGUAACUAUAACGGUCCUAAGGUAGCGAAAUUCCUUGUCGGGUAAGUUCCGACCCGCACGAAAGGCGUAACGAUUUGGGCACUGUCUCAACGAGAGACUCGGUGAAAUCAUAGUACCUGUGAAGAUGCAGGUUACCCGCGACAGGACGGAAAGACCCCGUGGAGCUUUACUGUAGCCUGAUAUUGAAAUUCGGCACAGCUUGUACAGGAUAGGUAGGAGCCUUUGAAACGUGAGCGCUAGCUUACGUGGAGGCGCUGGUGGG
rnacentral:rRNA from 1 species